rnacentral:rRNA from 1 species
AGUUUUAAGAGUUUGAUCCUGGCUCAGGACGAACGCUGGCGGCGUGCCUAACACAUGCAAGUCGAACGAAGCUUGAUGAAUGAUUUCUUCGGAAUGAUUUCUGAUAUGACUGAGUGGCGGACGGGUGAGUAACGCGUGAGCAACCUGCCCUUCGGAGGGGGAUAGUGUCUGGAAACGGACAGUAAUACCGCAUAACGUAUUUUUACCGCAUGAUAGAAAUACCAAAACUGAGGUGCCGAAGGAUGGGCUCGCGUUGGAUUAGAUAGUUGGUGGGGUAACGGCCUACCAAGUCGACGAUCCAUAGCCGGACUGAGAGGUUGAACGGCCACAUUGGGACUGAGACACGGCCCAGACUCCUACGGGAGGCAGCAGUGGGGA